rnacentral:rRNA from 1 species
CCUACGGGAGGCAGCAGUAGGGAAUCUUUCACAAUGGGCGAAAGCCUGAUGGAGCAACGCCGCGUGCAGGAUGAAGGCCUUCGGGUUGUAAACUGCUUUUAUAAGCGAGAAAUAUGAUGGUAACUUAUGAAUAAGGAUCGGCUAACUACGUGCCAGCAGCCGCGGUCAUACGUAGGAUCCGAGCAUUAUCCGGAGUGACUGGGUGUAAAGAGUUGCGUAGGUGGCAUAAUAAGUAGCUAGUGAAAACUGGUGGCUCAACCAUUCAGACUAUUAGCUAAACUGUUAAGCUCGAGACCGUUAGGGGUAACUGGAAUUUCUAGUGUAGGAGUGAAAUCCGUAGAUAUUAGAAGGAACACCAAUAGCGUAGGCAGGUUGCUGGGACGGUUCUGACACUAAGGCACGAAAGCGUAGGGAGCAAACGGGAUUAGAUACCCGAGUAGUC